CCUGCCCAAGAGAUCGGGAUAACACCUGGAAACNGAUGCUAAUACCGGAUAACAACAGAUGAUGCCUAUCAACUGUUUAAAAGAUGGUUCUGCUAUCACUCUUGGAUGGACCUGCGGUGCAUUAGCUAGUUGGUAGGGUAACGGCCUACCAAGGCGAUGAUGCAUAGCCGAGUUGAGAGACUGAUCGGCCACAUUGGGACUGAGACACGGCCCAAACUCCUACGGGAGGCAGCAGCC
rnacentral:rRNA from 1 species